CCUACGUGAGGCAGCAGUGGGGAAUAUUGGACAAUGGGGGAAACCCUUAUCCAGCGACGCCGCGUGAGGGAAGAAGGUUUUCGGAUUGUAAACCUCUGUCAGUGGGGACGAUAAUGACGGUACCCACGGAGGAAGCCACGGCUAACUACGUGCCAGCAGCCGCGGUCAUACGUAGGGGGCAAGCGUUAUCCGGAUUUACUGGGUGUAAAGGGAGCGUAGACGGCUGUGCAAGUCUGAAGUGAAAGCCCGUGGCUCAACCGCGGAACUGCUUUGGAAACUGUAUAGCUUGAGUACUGGAGAGGCAGGCGGAAUUCCUAGUGUAGCGGUGAAAUGCGUAGAUAUUAGGAGGAACACCAGUGGCGAAGGCGGCCUGCUGGACAGAAACUGACGUUGAGGCUCGAAAGCGUGGGGAGCAAACAGGAUUAGAUACCCGUGUAGUC
rnacentral:rRNA from 1 species